rnacentral:rRNA from 1 species
AUUGAACGCUGGCGGCAUGCUUUACACAUGCCAGUCGAACGGCAGCGCGGGCUUCGGCCUGGCGGCGAGUGGCGAACGGGUGGGUAAUGCAUCGGAACGUGCCCAGUAGUGGGGGAUAGCCCGGCGAAAGCCGGAUUAAUACCGCAUACGACCUGAGGGUGAAAGCGGGGGACCGAAAGGCCUCGCGCUAUUGGAGCGGCCGAUGUCGGAUUAGCUAGUUGGUGGGGUAAAGGCUUACCAAGGCGACGAUCCGUAGCUGGUCUGAGAGGACGACCAGCCACACUGGGACUGAGACACGGCCCAGACUCCUACGGGAGGCAGCAGUGGGGAAUUUUGGACAAUGGGGGCAACCCUGAUCCAGCCAUGCCGCGUGCGGGAAGAAGGCCUUCGGGUUGUAAACCGCUUUUGUUCGGGAAGAAAUCCUCUGGGCUAAUACCCCGGGGGGAUGACGGUACCGGAAGAAUAAGCACCGGCUAACUACGUG